UACGUAGGUGGCAAGCGUUGUCCGGAUUUACUGGGCGUAAAGAGCGCGCAGGCGGUCGUACAAGUCGCGUGUGAAAGCCCCCGGCUCAACUGGGGAGGGUCACGCGAUACUGUUCGACUCGAAGGCAGGAGAGGGAAGCAGAAUUCCCGGUGUAGUGGUGAAAUGCGUAGAUAUCGGGAGGAAUACCAGUGGCGAAGGCGGCUUCCUGGCCUGUUCUUGACGCUGAGGAGCGAAAGCGUGGGGAGCAAACAGG
rnacentral:rRNA from 1 species